rnacentral:rRNA from 1 species
GACGAACGCUGGCGGCGUGCUUAACACAUGCAAGUCGAACGGAAAGGCCCUGCUUUUGUGGGGUGCUCGAGUGGCGAACGGGUGAGUAACACGUGAGUAACCUGCCCUUGACUUUGGGAUAACUUCAGGAAACUGGGGCUAAUACCGGAUAGGAGCUCCUGCUGCAUGGUGGGGGUUGGAAAGUUUCGGCGGUUGGGGAUGGACUCGCGGCUUAUCAGCUUGUUGGUGGGGUAGUGGCUUACCAAGGCUUUGACGGGUAGCCGGCCUGAGAGGGUGACCGGCCACAUUGGGACGGGGAUACGGCCCAAACUCCUACGGGAGGCAGCAGUGGGGAAUAUUGCACGAUGGGCGGAAGCCUGAUGCAGCAACGCCGCGUGCGGGAUGACGGCCUUCGGGUUGUAAACCGCUUUCGCCUGUGACGAAGCGUGAGUGACGGUAAUGGGUAAAGAAGCACCGGCUAACUACGUG